AUAUAUAUAUAGAGAGAGAGAGAGAGAGAUAGAAAGAGAGAGAGAGAGAGAGAGAGAGAGAGUGCCGGUCGAUAGUGAGAUCCUUGUGCGAUUUCCUUCUCAUCCAAGAAGAUAGAAGAAGAGUUAAGGGCAAAGAAAGGAGUGUCUCGUCCUGGAUUAAAAGCUUUUAGUGUUCCUCGUGAUAGUGUUCGAAUUUUUUUUUUAUCAUCCGCGAGAGAAAGAACGAGAGAGAAAAAGAAAGAGAGAGAGAGAGAGAGAAAGAGAAAGAAAGAAAGAAAGAGAGUAAAAGAAUAUAGCAACGUUGUUGAAAACAACGUUGUCGAAGAAGCGAAGAGUUAGUGUCUCUCUCUAUCCGUUUCUCGUUCCAUCGGUUGUUUUUCCAACCUCUGUCGCAACGACGGCGGUCGAUCCAGAGCUCGAGGAAGCAAGUGGAAGGGAGGAGGCCGAGGCGCAGGAGGAGCAGCAGCAGCAAGAAGAGGAGGAGGAGGAGGAAGAGGAGGAAGAGGAGGAGGCGGAGGAGGCGGAGGAGGUGGUGGAGGAGGAAGAAGAGGUGAUUUCUACGUUCGAACGAGGAAGAUCGUGCUUCGUGCAUCUCCGCUGCGGAUCUCACGAUGACGGAUGGCUGUACGACGUGUGUUCUUCCCUCCUUUGAAACACGACUGACCAGCGACGGGGACGAACGGAAUCACUUCUCUGUACCUUGAUACGAUCUCGUGGGCGUGCGGGGGUGACUGGAGUGAUGGGAUGGGGCCAGAGCCCCAUGGAGUUCGGGUAGACCCGUCUCCGGCCCAGCUCCCCAGCCCCCUCCGCCAUAAAUAUCGCCACUGCUCCUGCCAACGACGCAGAGGGCCACCACGAUCGCGAUGGAGGCCUCUAGCAAUCAACAACAACAACAAAAAGAGAAGGAGUCACGUGUUCAUAGGCCUUAUGCCUUCGAUAAGAUGGAGGGGCUGGUGCGGGAGAUGCAAGACCCUCAAAACGGGGUACCCGUGCGCAGCCAAAAACAAUUUCUCACCUCGAUCCCCUCAGCGUUCAUGGGUGAGUGCCAUCGGUACCUGCGUUGUGGCAUAAACGUAAGCGGCCAUCACGGCCAGGAGAGUACAGUAGACUGCCUGCGUGUUGCAGGUUACGACCUCGUCGAGUGGCUUAUGGAUCGGCUUUCCAUCGAGGAAUCAGUAGAGGCGCUCCAUAUUGCUAAUCAACUAUGCCUGUACGGCUACUUCUUCCCGGUGAACGACUCGAAGACGCUUACCGUAAAGGAUGAUAGCUCGCUAUAUAGAUUUCAGUCACCGUAUUAUUGGCCAUGGCAACAUAGAACCCCUGACAACGUGGAAUACGCUAUUUAUUUGGCUAAACGAACAUUACGGAACAAACAACGCCACGCUCUUGAAGAUUACGAGAUCGAAGCUUUAAACAGUCUACGGAAGAACCUGCAAAAUAAAUGGGAUAUCAUACAACUACAGGCUGAAGAACAGGCUCAGGUACGAUUAGCUAAAGACCGGAAGAAGGGGGAUAAGAUAGUAAGCGAUUCACAGGAAAGAGCAUUUUGGAGAGUUUACCGGCCACCACCGGGUUGUCUUAGUAGUCUUGAAGUAGUUCCAGGACCAACACGUUUUCGUCCAGGAUUUCCACGUCCUCCACCACGUAAACGCACCGUCGCUGAGUUACAACGAGAGGUGGACUUCCUUCGAAACUGUUUAACACGCACGAGAAUAAAGGUUUCAGCUGCUAUAGAAAAUUUGAAGUCCUACUUUGAAACUUAUGUGGAAUACGAUCCAAUGUUCGUACAUCCGCAACCUUCGAAUCCUUGGAUCACCGAUGACAGUACAUUCUGGCAGUUGAAUAGUCCAGUAGUGGAAAUCCCUACGGAAAAGCGUGUAAAACGAUGGGCAUUAUCGAUGGAAGAACUCAUGUCUGAUCCAACAGGCCUGCUAGAAUUCACGAAUUACCUAAGAAAAGAAUACAGUCAUGAGAAUAUACGAUUUUGGGUGGCCGUUAAAGAUUUGAGACACAGUUAUCAAGCUCAAAUAACAGAAAAGGUCAACGAAAUUUUCAAAGAAUUCCUGGCGCCGGGUGCUCCUUGCGAGAUCAACAUCGAUGGAAAGACAAUGGAGAAGGUCCAUCAAGAAAUGAAAAAUCCCAGCAGAUUUACCUUCGAUUCAGCCGCCGAGCACGUAUAUACUCUACUUUUGAAGAAGGAUUGUUACCCCAGAUUUAUUCGCUCGGAUCAAUAUCGAAAUCUUUUAGCAGCCGGCGUACAGCCACUGCAAAAGAAAAGAUUCUUCAGCUUCGGUGGUCAAGCAAAAAAGAAAAUGGCGCCUAGCACGAGUACAACGACGAGCACGUUGCAACAACAACAACACGGUGGCAAUAUUGGAACCAGUGGUGGUGGUGGUGGUGGUGGUGGUGGUGGUGCUAGAAGAAGAGGAAGCGAUCGAAGCCUCUCAGGAUCAGCUCACGAGCUUGCUGUUUGCGGAGUACGUGAAAUAAGUUCUACGCCGAGAGUGCCGCAUUCUCAUAGCCAAUCAAAUCUCACCGAUAUUCCAUACAGGGGUGAUCUGGCGCGACUCUUAAAGAUCCCUACGAGGCCUAGUCCACAUAGUAUUCAGGAUGCUGGCGCCACGGAGGCGACAGUUCGCCCUAUGGACGACGUUUGCCCUUGGGACGCGAUCCCAGGGCCAAGUACAGAAACCGGCCAGGAUGCAGCACCGUUUGGAACGAGCCCGUGGCCUGACACGACUACGGAUCCCUGGGAAUACGGGAACGACGUAACCAAAACGUCGAUACAUUUCAUCGACGUGGCUCGUCCAUCUCGAAAGAAUUCCUCUCAGCUCGACUCCUGCAGUUCCUCUUCUGAUGUCAGUCUGGCUAUUGCGGAGGUCUCCGACAGGUUGAGAAAAUCCUGCAGCCUUCAGCACAGUUCUGUCACGACUGCCAUGAUGGAACGACAUGGUAUUGGUUCUGGAUCGGGUGGACAUACCAUCACCAGGAAUUAUUCUACUGGCUCGACUAGCAACAGAACCAAACUGUCGGAUAUAGGUCGCCCAUUGAUCAGCUCGUACAACUUACCAUCGCCUCUAGAAUCCUUCGAAUAUAGUCACGCAGCUGGCGAGAAGUUCGAGGCGAUAAUCAGCCAAGCAACGAUCGAAGAGCCAGAAACAUCAACGAUGUUAGAAACAACGCAACAAUUGGACAAAGUUGUAACGAUAGAAGAAACGAAAAAAACUACGAGAAGGUCAUCAGCGAAAGCACCAUUGAUAAGUAUCAGUGCGAUCGUCGGCGACUUGCCAAGUGAUUCCGAGGGCGUUGGAACGGUAACUGGCGACAACGUUUCUACGCCAACAAGAGAAACUAAAAUGGAAAUUGAAUUGUUGGAAGAUAAAAACGUACAAGAAAGAGAACUGGAAAGGGAACGAGAAAAGGGAAAGGAAGAAAAAGAAGAGAAAAGGGAAGAAGAAGAAAAAGAAGAAGAAGAAAAGGAAGAAGAAGAAGAAGAAGAAGAAAAAGGACAAGGAGAAGAGCCAUUGGAAAAGGACGAUGACAAAAUAACGAAGGAAGUUGGUGUCGAAACACAAAAAAAUGAGUCUAUUGAAGAUGCUCAGGUUGUUCCUGUUUGGGAGCCGGACACCCAACAGGAAGACCAAAUGGCACCAACGACCACUACUGCAACCACCAGUACUGUGCCCACUCGGGAUAAGCGUGACAAUAAUGUUAACGAAGUGUGCCCGUGGGAGGACGAGUAUAAUUUCUCGUAGAGGCGUAGAAUCGAAGACUCCGAAAUGGAAGACGAGACGCGUUAUAGUUGAAGGGAGAACUGUAAAGUGGAUACGACCUAUGUAAAAACGUAUGCGACAUUAGGUUAUUUGUAACUUGGCGUUAACGCGCUAUAAUCCUUGCAUUUUACACUUAAAACACCCAUUCGUAAAUUUCGAUUAUCAUUAUUCUCAAACUACCGCUGAUCUCGAGUGCAUGAGCUUUCGUAGGUUUUACGAUUUAACUGUUGUGUCAUUUUUAAAAACGUAUUGGUGUUGUUGGUUGAAAGUGAACAAAGAAAAAGUUUAAGAUCGAUUAAUAAAAAUUCGAUGAAGCGAUCUUCUUAAUAUGUAUACAAGAAUAUGAAAUGAAGUUUUCAAAACUUACAACUCGAUCUACGGAUAUAUAAAUACGACUGAUACAAACGAUCGUUAAUAAAUAUUUCUUUUCCUUGAUGAAUUUAAUGAUGUAAAAUACAAAGUGAUCUAUGGCCUAAAAUUUUUCUUUAUCCACCGACAUUUAUCGACUGAGAGCCAUUGCGGCCAUUUAUUAUCGCCAUUUGUUUUUUUUUUUAUUUUCCUUCUUAAUAUAAGUCGAGAUGUAUUAAUUAAUUUUCAUCUUUUUUUUUUUUUUUCUACUUAAUGUCAGUUAAUAUUAACGAAAACGCGUUGUUAUAAAUAGAGCGUAUUAGAGUACGUAUCUAGACUAUGAUAAAUGUGUUGUAGUAGUGAUGCGUAGUACAACCAUGUGUCUUUAUGUCGAAUAAAAAAAACAAAAAAAGAAAAAAAGAAAGAAAAUAAAAAGAAAAAUAUUAAGAUAUUUACUACGAUAUCGUUCGUUGAGCUUAAAAUAAGGUGAUAGAUGAUAUUUAAAAGAAAAAGAAAAAAAAAAAAAGAGGAAUAUUCGAUUUCGAUAUCGAAACUGAUUCGAUAUUCAAUAUACCUAUAGAUUUAAUUUUGAUUUUUGUCGAUCAUAAACGUGGCCUUUGGAUGCCAGUCAAUAAUGAGCCCCUUGACCGCAUGCAAAGACCAUGAAUUUUAUUAUCAAAUUUACUAAUAAUUUAUAUAAAUAAAAUGUAUAAUUUCCAAACUUUCCAACUAACUUGGUCAAAAAUAAAUCUUAAUAUUUCUUACAUUAAUUAUUAUUUCGUUCGAUCGAUCGACACAUACGAUCAUUCCUAUCUGAUUUUUCAUUUUUUGUCGUCGAAACGGAAAAAAAAAAGAACAAAAUCAAUCGACGCGACUCGAAUUUGAUCUAUCGCCUUAAAGAAAGAAAGAAAGAAAGAAAGAAUAAAACAAAAAAGGCUAACGACGUCAACGUAAACGUAUUUAAUAAUUCGUGUUAGAAAUAUUAACAAAUGUUACGCUGUUAAAAUCCUUCGAUAUAAUUAUAUAACUAAUAAUAAUCGUUUGUCCGCUGCUUAAGCGUCUAAUUAAACAUUAACGAUGCGUUAGUCCACUACUUGUUAGUUAUAAAUAUACGAUUAAA